AACGAACGCUGGCGGCAUGCUUAACACAUGCAAGUCGAACGGUGAACCUCUUCGGAGGGGAUCAGUGGCGAACGGGUGAGUAAGACGUGGGCACCCUGCCCCCGGCUCUGGGAUAGCUACGAGUACUAGGAGCUGAUAAUGGCUGUUCAUCGCUUCCCGCAUGGCUGAUGGUGAGCCGGCUUUCCGGCUGGGGGUGGGUCCGCGGCCUAUCAGCUUGGUGGUGGGGUAGUGGCUUACCAAGGCGACGACGGGUCGCCGGCCUGAGAGGGUGACCGGCCACACUGGGACUGAGACACGGCCCAGACCCCUACGGGAGGCAGCAGUGGGGAAGAGUGCGCAAUGGGCGGAAGCCUGACGCAGCGACGCCGCGUGGGGGAUGACAGGCUGCGGGUUGGAUUCCUCUGUCAGCAGGGACGAAGCGCAAGUGACGGUACCGGCAGAAGAAGCACCGGCCAACUACGUG
rnacentral:rRNA from 1 species